rnacentral:rRNA from 1 species
GAAAGCGUGGGGAUCAAACAGGAUUAGAUACCCUGGUAGUCCACGCCGUAAACGAUGANUGCUAGCUGUUAGCGAUAUACUGUUAGCGGCACAGAGAAAUCGUUAAGCAUUCCACCUGGGGAGUACGCCGGCAACGGUGAAACUCAAAGGAAUUGACGGGGGCCCGCACAAGCGGAGGAACAUGUGGUUUAAUUCGAUGAUACGCGAGGAACCUUACCUGGGCUUAAAUUGCAGUGGAAUAACGUGGAAACAUGUUAGCCUUCGGGCCGCUGUGAAGGUGCUGCAUGGUUGUCGUCAGCUCGUGCCGUGAGGUGUCGGCUUAAGUGCCAUAACGAGCGCAACCCUCAUCGAUAGUUACUAACAGGUUAAGCUGAGGACUCUAUCGAGACUGCCGACGUAAGUCGUGAGGAAGGUGGGGAUGACGUCAAAUCAGCACGGCCCUUACGUCCAGGGCUACACACGUGUUACAAUGGGGGGUACAAAGGGCAGCUACCUGGCGACAGGAUGCUAAUCUCAAAAACCUCUCUCAGUUCGGAUUGGAGUCUGCAACCCGACUCCAUGAAGCUGGAUUCGCUAGUAAUCGCGCAUCAGCCACGGCGCGGUGAAUACGUUCCCGGGCCUUGUACACACCGCCCGUCAAGCCAUGGGAGCCGGGGGGACCUGAAGUAUGCAACCGUAAGGAGCGUCCUAGGGUAAAACUGGUGACUGGGGCU